UUUGUAAGAGGUCUGUGAAUCCAUGUUUGACCAGCAUUUAUUUGGAAAAUAAACAAAACCCAUGGCCUUGCAUAUACAGAGUGCUCAAAAAAUGGCAGCUGAAUAAGGCCAUGACUGAAGAGAAGGUUAGAGUCCUGUCAUAUAGAGUAGCUGGGCCUUAUUCUGAAGGUGACUCAUGGUGACCCAGAAGGACUUUAGUGGAGAGGACCAUGUGGUCAGAGUUUUUUUUAAGGGGAGUGGGAGUAGAUCAUUAUGAUGUCAGAGUUUAUCAUGAAUUCCUAUGGCCAAGAUGGAAGGCUGACAGAACAGUUAGGAAGCUAUUUGUGAUGGUCCAGAAGAGAGAUUUUGUGGGCUCCUGUGUUGGCUGUAAAGAUGGAGCUGGGAGUUGAGGGGUGCAGAUGGGGGAGAAGUGAUGAAUUUAAGAGAAUGUGACACCCUCGUGUCCUCCACGGUGAUUCAGGUGUGUAAGGAAUACAAAGUGAAAGAUGUGAACACCAGCAAAUCUCUACCCAAGUGGUGGCAGCAAUGGCCACAGCAGUUAUAGACAUUUGUUCCAGUAUCUCUGCACUCAGACAGGGAAGGGGCACCUCUCCAGGAAAUCUAGCAGAAGUUCUGGGAGCUGCUGUCAUUGCCCAUCCUUGGCCCACUGAAGCAAUCAUGACAGUUCUGUGUGCUUUCGCCAGGCCAAGGUCAAUGCCCACACUUGGAACUGGAGAAGAAGAUUCGGUUCCCCAACGUGAAACCUAUGAACUGAGGGGUGGAGGAGAGUGGUAUCCCCUCUACACCCUGCCAAAUUAAGUCCUGUUACUGAAAGAAGGGGGGAAAGGAUACUGGGCAGGCAAAAACAAUUGUUCACCAGAGUCCUUGUGUCCAUACAGUCCUGUAAUCUCUACACCUGCAGUCAAGGUCCAGAUGGGACACUGGGCACCAUUCCCCAGCCAUCAGGCUAUAUACUGUCCUGUGACAUUCCUUCCCCGUAGUUUCUCAAGGCUGUUUCUUAUUUUAGGUAGGUUUUUUUUUUUAAUUUUUAUUUGUUUUGAGAGGGAGAAAAACGGAAUACAUGCACACAAGUGAGGAUGGGGCAGAGGGAGAGGGAGAGAGAGAAUUACAAGCAGCCUCUAUGCUGUCAGCACAGAGCCUCAUGUGGGCCUUGAUCUCACAAAUCAUGAGAUCAUGAUCGGAGCCAGAAUCAAGAGUCGGUGGCUUAACCGACUGAGCCACCCCGGCAACCAGGUUUUUUUUUUUUUUUAAUUAUAAAUGUAAAUUAUCAUGGUAAAAAAAAAUUUUAAUAGUAAUAUUAUAAAAUGGAAGGAAAUAUCUGUCCCUCACCCACUAACCACCUAUCACUAGUCCCUAAGGUGAUCAAAACUAUAUAGCAUUCUAGAAAAUUUCUCUAUUAUACAAAUACCUAAUUUUCCUUUUCUUUAUCUUUAUUUUGUUGUUUAUUUAUUUAUUUUAGGAGGCGAGGGAGGGGCAGAAAUAGAGGGAGAGAGAGAAUCCCAAGCAGGCUCUGCACUGUCAGGGCAGAGCUCUAAGCAGAGCUCAAACCCAUGAACCGUGACAUCAUGACCUGAGCCAAAAUGAAGAGUCAGACACUUAACAAACUGAGCCACCCAGGCACCCCUUCUUUUCUUUAUUUUUAAAGAAUUGAUAUAUUAUGCAUAUUGUCCCCCAACUUACUUUUUUACUUAAUAAUAUUCUUAGCGUCUUUCCAUUUCAGCACAGACAUUUUUUUAGCAGCUGCAUAAUAGCCCAUAAAAUGGAUGCACUAUGAUUUAUUUAACCAUUUUCCUGCUAAUGGACAUUUAUGUUACAUUCAUGGCUGUAUUUCGGCUUUGUCAUGAACAUUCCUGAGCACGUAGUUUAGUAUACUUUUGUGAGUAUAUCUGUAAGCUAAAUUCUUAGAAGUGAAAUUGUUGGGGCGCCUGGGUGGCGCAGUCGGUUAAGCAUCCGACUUCAGCCAGGUCACGAUCUCGCGGUCCGUGGGUUCGAGCCCCGCGUCAGGCUCUGGGCUGAUGGCUCGGAGCCUGGAGCCUGUUUCCGAUUCUGUGUUUCCCUCUCUCUCUGCCCCUCCCCCGUUCAUGCUCUGUCUCUCUCUGUCCCAAAAAUAAAUUAAAAACGUUGAAAAAAAAAAUUAAAAAAAAAAAAAGAAGU